CAGGCUGACAGGACUUUGUCAACCGAGGUGCAGGCUCCCAGGUGAGGAUCCCUGGCUGUGUGACUCUCACUCCAGAGCCUUGUGUGUCCUUCUGGGGCCUCCGGCCUAUGAGAGCUAAAUAAACCCUGACGUGGCUCCUCUCGUGGGCUAAUCCAUGUUAAAGCCAUCAGAAACGAUUUAUUGAUUGGUUGAAGAGUGAAAUCCCAGAAGGAAGAUACGAUCACCUUUUCCCAGCAAAUCUCGAAAUCAGUCUGAUAAUGAAAACUUUUUCAAGGCAGGACUUGAAAAUAAGAAUUUCAAACUAAGCCAGCUUAUGGCAAGCGCUAAUGACACCUGUAAUACCUGCAUCAUACCUUCGCGGACACACCUGGGCCGGUGUUCGACCAACGCCUCAGCCUGGCCGCGUAGACGUGUACAGCGAGCCUUCCCGACGCAAACAAUGUCUGCAGUAUUUCAUAAUUGGCGAGAUGGAGAGCGCCUAUUUUCCAAGAUGUUCAGGAAUAACUCAGUUUUAAAGACCACGUCCUAACAACCCGAAUGGGCCGAUUAUUCCAGGGGAAUCCGCUGAGAAUCGUUGCCACGCGAGGUAGGAAAAUGUGCCUGAAUUAUUGCCGGAACUUUGCUAAGAGAUUCACGGUUUCCAUUGCCAGGAGAGACGUUAAUGCCCAUUUAUUAAAAAUGUUUUUGAGGUUUUACUUCCAAUAGAAGGAUUUGUUUUAUUUAAGUAUGUCCUCUGAAGCGGUUGCAGUGGCAGGACCAUCCGUCUGCCCGUCCCCUGACUCAGCAGCGCUGGGCGGC